GAUGAACGCUGGCGGCGUGCCUAAUACAUGCAAGUCGAGCGAACAGACGAGGAGCUUGCUCCUCUGACGUUAGCGGCGGACGGGUGAGUAACACGUGGAUAACCUACCUUUAAGACUGGGAUAACUUCGGGAAACCGGAGCUAAUACCGGAUAAUAUAUUGAACCGCAUGGUUCAAUAGUGAAAGACGGUUUUGCGUUCACUUAUAGAUGGAUCCGCGCCGCAUUAGCUAGUUGGUAAGGUAACGGCUUACCAAGGCAACGAUGCGUAGCCGACCUGAGAGGGUGAUCGGCCACACUGGAACUGAGACACGGUCCAGACUCCUACGGGAGGCAGCAGUAGGGAAUCUUCCGCAAUGGGCGAAAGCCUGACGGAGCAACGCCGCGUGAGUGAUGAAGGUCUUCGGAUCGUAAAACUCUGUUAUUAGGGAAGAACAAAUGUGUAAGUAACUAUGCACGUCUUGACGGUACCUAAUCAGAAAGCCACGGCUAACUACGUG
rnacentral:rRNA from 1 species